rnacentral:sRNA from 1 species
CCCAACCUCAACUUUCCCACAGGGUUAUAUGGCCACCAUGGCUGCUCAGGGGGUCCCCGAGAGUCUUCGAGGCCGUGACAGGAUUGUGUUUGGGAAUAUCCAGCAAAUCUAUGAGUGGCACCGAGAGUGAGUGGUGGAACUCUGACAGCUAGGUGCUGGGGAGGGGCCCUCAUCUGGUUGUCCUGUAUCCUAACAUCAGCCCAUUGCGACUUAAGGAAUGUUUGGAGAAGUUUUGUAGGGCACACUACCAGGGCAGACAGCUCGAAAUUGCUGGGAGUGGGCGAGGUGGGGGUUGUGAAAUGUAUUUGACCUGCUGCUUCUCUACCAACCCCUCCAGCUAUUUCUUGCAAGAGCUACAACGGUGUCUGAAAGAUCCUGAUUGGCUGGCUCAGCUAUUCAUCAAACACGUGAGGCUUGAGGGGGCAGGGCCUGGGGCGGGGCUUAGGAAUGGGCUGGGAUUCUCUGGAGAUGUGUCCUCCCUCCUUGCCCACCCUGCUCUCUCUUAAACAUUACUCCUGUUAGGAGCGCCGGCUGCAUAUGUAUGUGGUGUACUGUCAGAAUAAGCCCAAGUCAGAGCAUGUGGUGUCAGAGUUUGGGGACAGCUACUUUGAGGUCAGUAGCUGAGAUGUCUUGGUGGGAAGGAGGACAGAACUGGGGCUUUCCAGGCUGCAUAACCACCCUGUCCCUGUCCCCAGGAGCUCCGGCAGCAGCUGGGGCACCGCCUGCAGCUGAACGACCUCCUCAUCAAACCUGUGCAGCGGAUCAUGAAAUACCAGCUGCUGCUCAAGGAUUUUCUCAAGUAUUACAAUAGAGCUGGGAUGGAUACUGCAGACCUAGAGCAAGCUGUGGAGGUCAUGUGCUUUGUGCCCAAGCGCUGCAACGAUAUGAUGACGCUGGGGAGAUUGCGGGGAUUUGAGGGCAAACUGACUGCUCAGGGGAAGCUCUUGGGCCAGGACACUUUCUGGGUCACCGAGCCUGAGGCUGGAGGGCUGCUGUCUUCCCGAGGUCGAGAGAGGCGCGUCUUCCUCUUUGAGCAAAUCAUCAUCUUCAGUGAAGCCCUGGGAGGAGGAGUGAGAGGUGGAACACAGCCUGGAUAUGUAUACAAGAACAGCAUUAAGGUGAGCUGCCUGGGACUGGAGGGGAACCUCCAAGGUGACCCUUGCCGCUUUGCACUGACCUCCAGAGGGCCAGAGGGUGGGAUCCAGCGCUAUGUCCUGCAGGCUGCAGACCCUGCUAUCAGUCAGGCCUGGAUCAAGCAUGUGGCUCAGAUCUUGGAGAGCCAACGGGACUUCCUCAACGCAUUGCAGUCACCCAUUGAGUACCAGAGACGGGAGAGCCAGACCAACAGCCUGGGGCGGCCAAGAGGGCCUGGAGUGGGGAGCCCUGGAAGAAUUCGGCUUGGAGAUCAGGCCCAGGGCAGCACACACACACCCAUCAAUGGCUCUCUCCCCUCCCUGCUGCUGUCACCCAAAGGGGAGGUGGCCAGAGCCCUCUUGCCACUGGAUAAACAGGCCCUUGGUGACAUCCCCCAGGCUCCCCAUGACUCUCCUCCAGUCUCUCCAACUCCAAAAACCCCUCCCUGCCAAGCCAGACUUGCCAAGCUGGAUGAAGAUGAGCUGUAACUGGUGAAAACCAUGGGGGUGGUGCUGACUCAGCCGCCUAUUCCCCAAGGAGCUUCAGGGCAGUCCUUCUGGCACUGCUCCAGAAUUCCUCCUUCUUGGUGUGUCUGGAGGGUGGGCAAGGCUGGGAGGGAUAUCAACUUGGAGGAGAACACCUAGACCCAAGGACUUUUUUCUGCCCAAGGAACACAGUUUCCUUCAGCUCCCAUCCCUAUGCAUGCAUCAUGGUCCCCCCAAAAGGAGGAUAUGUGGGUGGGUGGGAGGGCUGGGGCAGGGGCCAGAUAGAAAUUAUUGGUUUUGUUUUUUAAUUUUGUUUUUCCUGUUUU